UACAUGGGGUGCAAACGUUGCUCGGAAUUAUUGGGCGUAAAGCGCACGUAGGCGGUUCGUUAAGUCGGAUGUGAAAGCCCUCGGCUCAACUGAGGAAGUGCACCCGAAACUGGCGAGCUUGAGUACGAAAGAGGAUCGCGGAAUUCCCGGUGUAGAGGUGAAAUUCGUAGAUAUCGGGAGGAACACCGGUGGCGAAGGCGGCGAUCUGGGUCGAUACUGACGCGUGAGGUGCGAAAGCGUGGGGAGCGAACAGG
rnacentral:rRNA from 1 species